rnacentral:lncRNA from 1 species
UAAGAGAGAAAUACUCAUUUUCGGGGAGAAAAUGAAUAUUAUAUUUAAAAGAAAAAUAUUUAAAUCGCAAUACCAGGGGAGAGAUGAUGUCUCAAGAUGGUUUGAGGGAACUAGGAGUCACUUGGGUGGAAAUCAAAAGGAUACCCAAGUGGAAAGCCCCAUGAGAUGAUUCAAAAACUUAUUUUCAAAUCAAAUAUUCAAAAAAAUCAAAUAAAAC